rnacentral:misc_RNA from 1 species
UACAGAGGGCGCGAGCGUUGUCCGGAAUCACUGGGCGUAAAGGGCGCGUAGGUGGCGACAUAAGGCUGUGGUGAAAGUCGGGGGCUCAACCCUUGAUCGGCCGUGGCAACUGUGUCGCUUGGGCACCGUAGAGGCAGAUGGAAUUCCGGGUGUAGCGGUGGAAUGCGUAGAGAUCCGGAAGAACACCAGUGGCGAAGGCGGUCUGCUGGGCGGUGGACUCGAAAGGGUCCAAUAGCCGACACUGAGGCGCGACAGCGUG